rnacentral:rRNA from 1 species
GAUGAACGCUGGCGGCGUGCCUAAUACAUGCAAGUCGAGCGAACAGACGAGGAGCUUGCUCCUCUGACGUUAGCGGCGGACGGGUGAGUAACACGUGGAUAACCUACCUAUAAGACUGGGAUAACUUCGGGAAACCGGAGCUAAUACCGGAUAAUAUAUUGAACCGCAUGGUUCAAUAGUGAAAGACGGUUUUGCUGUCACUUAUAGAUGGAUCCGCGCCGCAUUAGCUAGUUGGUAAGGUAACGGCUUACCAAGGCAACGAUGCGUAGCCGACCUGAGAGGGUGAUCGGCCACACUGGAACUGAGACACGGUCCAGACUCCUACGGGAGGCAGCAGUAGGGAAUCUUCCGCAAUGGGCGAAGGCCUGACGGAGCAACGCCGCGUGAGUAAUGAAGGUCUUCGGAUCGUAAAACUCUGUUAUUAGGGAAGAACAAAUGUGUAAGUAACUGUGCACGUCUUGACGGUACCUAAUCAGAAAGCCACGGCUAACUACGUG